rnacentral:rRNA from 1 species
GACAGUUCGGUCCCUAUCCGUCGUGGGCGUAGGAAAUUUGAGAGGAGCUGUCCUUAGUACGAGAGGACCGGGAUGGACGCACCGCUGGUGUACCAGUUGUCCUGCCAAAGGCAUCGCUGGGUAGCUAUGUGUGGACGGGAUAAGUGCUGAAAGCAUCUAAGCAUGAAGCCCCCCUCAAGAUGAGAUUUCCCAUAGCGUAAGCUAGUAAGAUCCCUGAAAGAUGAUCAGGUUGAUAGGUUCGAGGUGGAAGCAUGGUGACAUGUGGAGCUGACGAAUACUAAUAGAUCGAGGACUUAACCAAAAA